rnacentral:lncRNA from 1 species
AUGUGAAGCUUUUGGGAUCACAUUUCCCCGUGUGCGUGAAGAAUCUUGCCUAUCAUGCUUUUAUUCCCCAGGCUAGCUUGUGCCUUCCCCAGGAAUUGUUGAUUGGAGGGAGGGUAGAAGUUAGCUGAAGACUUCAGGUCUGACCACCUGAAAGAAGGGGGGGCUUUGAAGGUUUGAAAUUACUCCAGCACGAGCUACUUUUAGCAGUUUUCUGUAACUUUGCACAUGGAAAUUGAUGACCAAAGUUGUGUAAAUGUUUCUUUUUAUCCUUAGAAUAAAAUAAGACAAACUCUCUAUGGCAAAUAUCACCAAGUCAAGCCCUUCUCACUGACCUGUUAUUUCCAGCACUGCUCAGUACRACUGAAUUCCAGCCCCAGGACAAGAGUGGUAGGCUUCAGGGAGUGAGCCUCCUGGCCACCACAUGAACCCAGGCUCCCUGUGCCCUGUAUAUGCAGCUCAAAGACUAUCAUUCCAGAAUUAGAGGAUACUGGAAAUUUGGAUCCCACAGGGAAGGGCUCUGACUCAUUCACACCAAGAUGUACACUGACAUCAGUGAUUCUUACCUUGAUAUGGAGGAAGAAACAGGAGUUGGGAGCAUCCAGAACUUGCAGGUGAAGUAGCCCAGGUCCUCAGCAGCAGAGUACGCACACCCAGAACUCUGUCCCAACCUCUGCAGGUUCCAGCACACUCACUUUUGGAGACAUCUGCCCUCCUCCAGCUUGUCAACCUAAAAAAGUACACCAUGUCCUACAUUGAACAUAACAAGUUUGUAAGUAUACAAGAGUGUGGUUGCCUAACUGAUGUGAUGUUAUGCUCUGUAGACAUUUUCAAAAUCCCCUUUGAAGCUUUGUAUCUUGGAG